UACGGAGGCAGCAGUGGGGAAUAUUGCACAAUGGGCGAAAGCCUGAUGCAGCUAUGCCGCGUGUAUAAAGAAGGCCUUAGGGUUGUAAAGUACUUUCAUCGGGGAGGAAAAAACAAAACUAAUAAUUUUAUUUCUUGACGUUACCCGAAAAAGAAGCACCGGCUAACUCCGUGCCAGCAGCCGCGGUAAUACGGAGGGUGCUAGCGUUAAUCAGAAUUACUGGGCGUAAAGAGCACGUAGGUGGUUUUUUUAAGUUCAGAUGUGAAAUCCCUGGGCUUAACCUAGGAACUGCAUUUUGAAACUGAAAUACUAGAGUAUCGUAGAGGGAGGUAGAAUUCUAGGUGUAGCGGUGAAAUGCGUAGAUAUCUGGAGGAAUACCUGUGGCGAAAGCGGCCUCCUAAACGAAUACUGACACUGAGGGUGCGAAAGCGUGGGGAGCAAACAGGGAUUAGAUACC
rnacentral:rRNA from 1 species